GGAGGUACCUGUUUCAGAACAAAUGCAAAUGUUAAAGUUUCCUUCUGUGUGCCACCUUUCCACCUCAAGAAACAGAAAACUAUGAGGACACGGCAGAUCUGGUGGUACAGUAUGACAAAAGGGUGCUAAUGGUUCCCAGAUAUUUUAUAGCACAUACCCAAGACGUGAGAUAACUGGGCUCCAGACCCUCCUCAGCCUCAAAGGGUUUGAAUUCACAUUUCCAGGGAAUGCUGUGGAUAUUCUGGUAAGAGCAUUCAUCAUUAUUCUUAUAAUAACAACGUUGCUGUGCAGCCAAAAACAAAAGGCACCAAGACAGAAAAGAAGCUGACAAGGUUUUGACUGUUGUUUAAGUGCUGAAGCACUUGGAUGGCAGGAGGUAGAAGAAAAGAUGAAAGUGGGGUUCCAGAUCCUAUUCACUGUAACUAUAUUGCUAAUGGAUAAAAGCAAAGAGACUUGGAGAUCAUCGUUUGGAGUAUUAGCUGUCCUUUUUUUUUCCCUGAAUAACAUAAUCUGUAGAGGGAAAUGAACAUAUGUUCACAACCAGAUGCAGAAGAGAGCCUGAACUGCACCUGUCCUGUAUCACGCACGACUACUCUGACUUAGUGGACACCAAGCAAAAAUCAUUAACUGUGGACCUGACUGCUCGGAACCAUAUGGUCUACGGAGGAACUAUGGAGUAAAGGAAGGUACUACAGGAAAUCACAAACUGGCAUACCACAAAGUGCAAACUUAACGGAAACUCCGUUUUUACAUGGCAGAGUUACCCACCAGUAACCAUCGUGAACACUCUGGUACAGUUUCGGCGACUAAAACCAAGACGAAAGCCAACUGCUGCUACAAGAAACCGUAGUGCUACAGCAUCCCCACCUCCAAAAAAUCCACUUCUGCACUGCCCAUCUUGCAACCGCCCCCUGCCCUCAGCUGCCACCUCGGCCUGCAGGGCUGGUGGGGCACACCUUGUUCAUCCCCUUCCACAUCCAGGCCAAUUUUCUGUAAGCUUCAAUGAAUUGAACCAGGCCUCCAAAGGGCCAGAUGAGUACUGAAAAAGCAACUUCUGCAAGGUCACAGCUGGCUGCCGGAAUGACUGACCUUGGUAACUGCGCUGCGCUCCUUGGGUGCUGCUAAACCAAGGCGGGCCCACCUGCCUCCCUGCCCUGCUCUCCUCGGGUACUGCUCCGUAACAGCGAGACAGUCUGAGUUAUAUAUAUAUAUAACUCAGAACUCUGUUCUGAGUUAUAUAUAUAUAUGUAUAUAUAUAUUUUUUUCAAUUGGUUUUUAAUUUAUUUUGACAAAAAAUUAAAAAAAAAUAAGAAAAAUAAGACUACUGCAGAGCAAACCACUCUGUUUUUUUAUUUCAGGAUUCUAAUGACAAGAAGGUGGCAUAACAUUAACAUCUAGCAUCUAAAUAUUUAAUUGUGAGUUGUAAAAAGGUGCCUUAUCUAACACAGUUUAGAGUGAGACUUGCACUGAAGCAACUCUCAGCAUACUUUGAACAUCAGGUAAACGGCCAAGAAAAUGGAUAUACAGAGUUAAUAAUAAAAAUUAAAAAAUGGUCAUCCCACUA